rnacentral:misc_RNA from 1 species
AGCCAAACAUGGCCGUAGUCCGGUUCUGGGAAAUAUUCAUGGCAAUAAUAUAUCCACUCAUCCAUAUACCAAAAUGUUCGGUAUAAAAAUCAUAUUAUCCACAUUUCCUGUCAAAAACAAAACACCAGGAAAUAUUCAUUGAAAUAUACAUUAGGUGCAUAGAAAUGUUGGAAUAAAGGAAACCAUAGGUGAAGCCAGAUAAAAGAAAUGACAGCCCUACAACCAAACUUUCUGGAAAAAAAAAAAAAAAAAA